CCAAUGUGAAUGGUGUAUGCGCGCGCAUUUCAGUGCUGCAUGAGCAAUUUUUGUGUUAAACAAAAAUUUUUUAAGCUUAACGAAAAAGAAAGCGAAUUUUAAAAGAAUUCUCAAAAAAAAAAUCUAAUUUUUAUUUUGAGAAAGAAUACAGAGUGUUACGAAAAGAAUCCAUUCCGAAAACAGCUGAUACAAAGUCUAUUUUUUAUUUUGUUCGAAAUCGCAAAUAUCUUCUAUAACCGUUAAAGGGAGAACAUCGCAUUUUCAACCUCAUUUCCACUUGGUGCUAAAAACUCUUAGUGAAGUUUGUAUGAAAGCAACCAUAUCAGAAAAAAGAAAAUCAGCAAAAAUAUUGAAUACCAACCAACAACGAACCAACUUGUUAUUGCAAACCAAGAUAUGAAGUCUGCAUGCUGAAUGAAAUUAACUGGAAAUAAUGCCAUAAGAAGAAACUCACUUUUAAAGGUAUGAUAUGUUAUAGCCUAUCAUAUUAAAAUUUAAG